CCUACGGGCGGCAGCAGUGGGGAAUACUGCACAAUGGGCGCAAGCCUGAUGCAGCCAUGCCGCGUGUGUGAAGAAGGCCUUCGGGUUGUAAAGCACUUUCAGCGGGGAGGAAGGCGUUAAGGUUAAUAACCUUGUCGAUUGACGUUACCCGCAGAAGAAGCACCGGCUAACUCCGUGCCAGCAGCCGCGGUAAUACGGAGGGUGCAAGCGUUAAUCGGAAUUACUGGGCGUAAAGCGCACGCAGGCGGUCUGUCAAGUCGGAUGUGAAAUCCCCGGGAUCAACCUGGGAACUGCAUUCGAAACUGGCAGGCUAGAGUCUUGUAGAGGGGGGUAGAAUUCCAGGUGUAGCGGUGAAAUGCGUAGAGAUCUGGAGGAAUACCGGUGGCGAAGGCGGCCCCCUGGACAAAGACUGACGCUCAGGUGCGAAAGCGUGGGGAGCAAACAGGAUUAGAUACCCUAGUAGUC
rnacentral:rRNA from 1 species